rnacentral:rRNA from 1 species
UAUGGCCUUACCAACCUGAACAUGCCCAAUCUUAUCUGAUCUCAGAAGCUAAGCAGGGUUGGGCCUGGUUAGUACUUAGAUGGGAGAAACUUGGCGAGCACCAGCUCCAAGCCAGGU